AAGGGCACCACAAGAACGCGUGGAGCAUGUGGCUUAAUUUGACCCAACGCGGGAAAUCUUACCAGGUCCGGACAUAUUGAGGAUUGACAGGCGAUAGGAUAUAUUAUUAUUAUAUAUAUUCAUAAAAAUGAUAGUCCUUUCAUGAUUAUAUGAUAGGUGGUGCAUGGCCGUUCUUAGUUCGUGGAGUGAUCUGUCUGCUUAAUUGCGUUUCAGAUAUAAUAAUAAUAUUUAAUAUAUAUUUUUAUUAAUAUUAUUAUGUAUAUAUAUCGUUCUGCCUUUUUUUAAAGGAUUUAAAGUGAACAUAUAUAUAUUAUUAUAUAUUAUAUUAUAUAUAUUAUUAUAUACUAAAAUGAAUGCAACGAACGUGACCG
rnacentral:rRNA from 1 species